rnacentral:rRNA from 1 species
UACGUAGGGUGCAGGCGUUAAUCGGAAUUACUGGGCGUAAAGCGUGCGCAGGCGGUUUCUUAAGUCAGAUGUGAAAGCCCCGGGCUUAACCUGGGAACUGCGUUUGGAACUGGGAGACUUGAGUGUGGCAGAGGGGGGUGGAAUUCCACGUGUAGCAGUGAAAUGCGUAGAUAUGUGGAGGAACACCGAUGGCGAAGGCAGCCCCCUGGGCUAACACUGACGCUCAGGCACGAAAGCGUGGGGAGCAAACAGG